AUGUCUGAAUAUCUGAAGGGAGUUUCUACCACAGUCUUCUGUGGUUUUCCCUGGAAACUUCCUUCUCAGAACUUCUGCUGCUUUCAGCAACAUCCUAACUCGGCCUCUCUGGCCAGCAGGCUCCAUGAUGGCUUUCGUGGUACGUUGCUGACACCCAUGUUAGAGCAUUCUCGUUCAUGGAAGGAAGCAGAUAAUGAACAAAGUGUCUCUGUGAUGCCAAACAUCUGGACGGAAAGCAAGAAGGCUUUGAGAAUUCUUUGCAAAGAUUGUUUUUCUCACCCAUCCAUCCAUCCAUCCAUCCAUCCAUCCAUCCAUCCAUUCAUUCAUUCAAAAAAACAUUUAUCAGGAUCAAGUUCAAAUAAGAGGGCAGAGAAUGACCCAUAUGCCCCCUUGACUGAAGAAGUAGAAAAUGUUUCUAUACACAAGAGCUGAGAAGUGCACCAUGCUGAACAAAAGGAGGGUCUAUAUUAUUGACUCACUUAAUAAUCACUGUUGUAUAGUUAAAAUUUUUGGAAGUUAUUCUCAACCAUCGAAAAGCAUACUGACUCAAGGCCAAUAUUCUUCAAAGUGGACUCCAUUAAAGCCAGAUAUAGUUCUGAGAGAAAUGUUUAAUUUGAAAGGUAAGAGUUCAGGUUAAGUUUCCUUUAUUCCUAAAUACAUGUUUCUUUUUUCCCUUCGAAUAUAUCAGAUUUUUCCAUUUGAAAAUGGUAGUUAUUUCUACAUUGGUACAUAGGUUCUAGAGGACCAAAAGACUUUGAUAAAAAGAAAGCAAUUAAAAAUGACCAAUAAUAUCCUUGAACAGUAAUCUCCUUAAAGACAGAGACUCUUGGAUAUUAUUUUUGAAUUGUUUUUAGCACAUAGCAAAUGAUGUUAUAGACACUUAAUUAAGGUAUGUUGGAUAAAUGAAUAGAGUUCUAAUAGUAGGGGGGGGGGUACAUCUGUGACCAGCAGACCUUGGCUGUAACUAUUGCUACCAGAGGAGAAUUAACAGCAUGAAAGGUAUCUUAUCAUCAAAUGAAAAAUGGCAUGAAAUUCCCUUUUAAUUUAUGAGUCGGAUGCCUGGGCUAAUCACUGAGCAUAAAUUUGUCUAUAAUAAAAGGACACUUCCUAUGAAAAUGAUUUGUUAA
rnacentral:lncRNA from 12 species